CCUACGGGUGGCUGCAGUGAGGAAUAUUGGUCAAUGGCCGAGAGGCUGAACCAGCCAAGUCGCGUGAGGGAAGAAGGUACUUAGUAUUGUAAACUUCUUUUGUCGGGGAACAAAGGCGGAGACGCGUCUCCGGAUGAGUGUACCCGAAGAAAAAGCAUCGGCUAACUCCGUGCCAGCAGCCGCGGUAAUACGGAGGAUGCGAGCGUUAUCCGGAUUUAUUGGGUUUAAAGGGUGCGUAGGCGGGCUGUUAAGUCAGCGGUAAAAGCCCGGGGCUCAACCCCGGCGGGCCGUUGAAACUGGCUGUCUUGAGAUGUCGAGAGGUAUGCGGAAUGCGCAGUGUAGCGGUGAAAUGCUUAGAUAUUGCGCAGAACUCCGAUUGCGAAGGCAGCAUACCGGCGGCGAUCUGACGCUGAGGCACGAAAGCGUGGGUAUCGAACAGGAUUAGAUACCCGGGUAGUC
rnacentral:rRNA from 1 species